AUUUCAUGAGAUGUGUGCACCAAGCCAAAGUCGUUGGGAGGUCUUGGAUUUCGGGAUAUGAAGCUAUUUAAUUUAUCUCUUGUAGCAAGACAAGCUUGGCGCCUGAUCCAAGCACCCCUUACUUUGAGUGCAAGAAUUUUGAAAGCAAAAUACUUACCCAAUGAUUCUUUUCUUGAGGCAUAUUUGGGUUCUAACCCAUCACAGAUUUGGAGGGCGGUGCUAGAUGAUCGAGAUGCUUUGGCUCAUGGCCUAAUAAGCAGAAUUGGGACUGGUGAGAAAACAAAAAAAAUUGAGCACAACUGGAUCCCU
rnacentral:rRNA from 1 species